GACGAACGCUGGCGGCGUGCUUAACACAUGCAAGUCGAACGGUGAAGCGCCUUCCUUUUUGGUGGGUGUGGAUGAGUGGCGAACGGGUGAGUAACACGUGAGUAACCUGCCCCCUUCUUCUGGAUAACCGCAUGAAAGUGUGGCUAAUACGGGAUAUUCUGGGUCUGUCGCAUGAUGGGUCUGGGAAAGAUAUUGUUUCGGUGGGGGAUGGGCUCGCGGCCUAUCAGCUUGUUGGUGGGGUGAUGGCCUACCAAGGCGGUGCCGGGUAGCCGGCCUGAGAGGGUGGACGGUCACACUGGGACUGAGACACGGCCCAGACUCCUACGGGAGGCAGCAGUGGGGAAUAUUGCACAAUGGGCGCAAGCCUGAUGCAGCGACGCCGCGUGAGGGAUGGAGGCCUUCGGGUUGUGAACCUCUUUCGCCAGUGAAGCAGGCCUGCCUCGUUUGUGGGUGGGUUGACGGUAGCUGGAGAAGAAGCGCCGGCUAACUACGUG
rnacentral:rRNA from 1 species